rnacentral:rRNA from 1 species
UAACACGUGGAUAACCUGCCUUAUACUGGGGGAUAACAGCCAGAAAUGGCUGCUAAUACCGCAUAAGCGCACGGCGCCGCAUGGCGCAGUGUGAAAAACUCCGGUGGUAUAAGAUGGAUCCGCGCCUGAUUAGCUAGUUGGCGGGGCAGCGGCCCACCAAGGCGACGAUCAGUAGCCGGCCUGAGAGGGCGACCGGCCACAUUGGGACUGAGACACGGCCCAAACUCCUACGGGAGGCAGCAGUGGGGAAUAUUGCACAAUGGGGGGAACCCUGAUGCAGCGACGCCGCGUGAGUGAAGAAGUAUUUCGGUAUGUAAAGCUCUAUCAGCAGGGAAGAAGAUGACGGUACCUGACUAAGAAGCCCCGGCUAACUACGUGCCAGCAGCCGCGGUAAUACGUAGGGGGCAAGCGUUAUCCGGAUUUACUGGGUGUAAAGGGAGCGUAGACGGCAGGGCAAGUCUGGAGUGAAAGCCCGGGGCCCAACCCCGGGACUGCUUUGGAAACUGCCAUGCUGGAGUGCUGGAGAGGUAAGCGGAAUUCCUAGUGUAGCGGUGAAAUGCGUAGAUAUUAGGAGGAACACCAGUGGCGAAGGCGGCUUACUGGACAGUAACUGACGUUGAGGCUCGAAAGCGUGGGGAGCAAACAGGAUUAGAUACCCUGGUAGU